GCUGAGAUCGUCAGCGCAAUAGAUAUUUUGAGAAAGAGACAGAGUGAGACAAUGUUCACAUCAUUUUUGUUACAAUACAUUGUUAUGUGUUGUAUUUUAUCAUUGUUCUUUUUUUUGUCAAAAUCUCCCUGUGCCUAAUUUAUAAAUAAGCUUUGUCGUAGGCAUAAGCAGAAACUAUAGACACGGACUUGUGGGCUCCAGCUGUGUACCGGGGCUCUUGAAACACAAACCCUCAAGGAUAAUGGUGACCUCUGAACUAGGAGAGAGGGUUCCUGACUGGGUGCUGAGGAUCCAUUGAGAGAAUUCUCUCCCUUCCAAGAUUCCAAUGACAAAACAAACACAGUUCCAUCACUUUCCACCCUGGGGAACCGUGGCUGUCUCACACUGAUAGUCCUCAAUGCUGGAUGUUGGAAGUUCCAAUUUGGUGCUAAAGGCCUGGAGGAUUCUUGGAGAACUGCUGAUCUUCAAUCUACCUUGGAAGGCUGAAGAAGUUGUUUCUAACUUCAGCGAAGAGCCUGCCAGUGAGAGCGAGGGCAGCCAGCAAGCAGUGAAAGUUUCCUUCUCCAACGUCCUUUUAUGUGGGCCGCCACCAGAAGGUGCUGCCCACGUGUAGGGUGGGUCUUCCUGCUUCAAGUAAUCUGAUCAAGAAAAUCCCUCACAGGAGUGCCCAGCAGCUUGUGCUUCGGUUGAAUCUAGAUCAAGUUACAUUGAUAACCAAGAUUAGUCAUCACAGCCAGGCAGCUCCUGCACAGGGCUUCCCAGCAUCAUGUUGCUCAUUGUACGGUUUGGCAGGACCUAUUGAGUAAGGCUGGCAGAGAACCCUGGGAGCAAUGGCUCCUUCCGAAUUCCUCAAUUUUUCAUUUUAUCAACACAUAACUGUGAGCACUUACAGGGUGCCAUAGGAAACUUUCAUAUCUGGGGCCAAGAAAGAUCAAAAGGGAUGAUUGCA